GAACUGCGAUAAGUAAUGUGAAUUGCAGAAUUCAGUGAAUCAUCGAGUCUUUGAACGCACAUUGCGCCCCCUGGCAUUCCGGGGGGCAUGCCUGUCCGAGCGUCAUUGCUGCCCAUCAAGCCCGGCUUGUGUGUUGGGUCGUCGUCCCCCCCGGGGGACGGGCCCGAAAGGCAGCGGCGGCACCGUGUCCGGUCCUCGAGCGUAUGGGGCUUUGUCACCCGCUCGACUAGGGCCGGCCGGGCGCCAGCCGACGUCUCCAACCAUUUUUCUUCGGGUUGACCUCGGAUCAGGUAGGGAUACCCGCUGAACUUAAGC
rnacentral:misc_RNA from 1 species